rnacentral:rRNA from 1 species
AGGGUGACAGCCCCGUACACAAAAAUGCACAUGCUGUGAGCUCGAUGAGUAGGGCGGGACACGUGGUAUCCUGUCUGAAUAUGGGGGGACCAUCCUCCAAGGCUAAAUACUCCUGACUGACCGAUAGUGAACCAGUACCGUGAGGGAAAGGCGAAAAGAACCCCGGCGAGGGGAGUGAAAAAGAACCUGAAACCGUGUACGUACAAGCAGUGGGAGCCCUGAUUUAUCAGGGUGACUGCGUACCUUUUGUAUAAUGGGUCAGCGACUUAUAUUCUGUAGCAAGGUUAACCGAAUAGGGGAGCCGGAGGGAAACCGAGUCUUAACUGGGCGUUAAGUUGCAGGGUAUAGACCCGAAACCCGGUGAUCUAGCCAUGGGCAGGUUGAAGGUUGGGUAACACUAACUGGAGGACCGAACCGACUAAUGUUGAAAAAUUAGCGGAUGACUUGUGGCUGGGGGUGAAAGGCCAAUCAAACCGGGAGAUAGCUGGUUCUCCCCGAAAGCUAUUUAGGUAGCGCCUCGUGAAUUCAUCUCCGGGGGUAGAGCACUGUUUCGGCAAGGGGGUCAUCCCGACUUACCAACCCGAUGCAAACUGCGAAUACCGGAGAAUGUUAUCACGGGAGACACACGGCGGGUGCUAACGUCCGUCGUGAAGAGGGAAACAACCCAGACCGCCAGCUAAGGUCCCAAAGUCAUGGUUAAGUGGGAAACGAUGUGGGAAGGCCCAGACAGCCAGGAUGUUGGCUUAGAAGCAGCCACCAUUUAAAGAAAGCGUAAUAGCUCACUGGUCGAGUCGGCCUGCGCGGAAGAUGUAACGGGGCUAAACCAUGCACCGAAGCUGCGGCAGCGACACUGUGUGUUGUUGGGUAGGGGAGCGUUCUGUAAGCCUGUGAAGGUGUGCUGUGAGGCAUGCUGGAGGUAUCAGAAGUGCGAAUGCUGACAUAAGUAACGAUAAAGCGGGUGAAAAGCCCGCUCGCCGGAAGACCAAGGGUUCCUGUCCAACGUUAAUCGGGGCAGGGUGAGUCGACCCCUAAGGCGAGGCCGAAAGGCGUAGUCGAUGGGAAACAGGUUAAUAUUCCUGUACUUGGUGUUACUGCGAAGGGGGGACGGAGAAGGCUAUGUUGGCCGGGCGACGGUUGUCCCGGUUUAAGCGUGUAGGCUGGUUUUCCAGGCAAAUCCGGAGAAUCAAGGCUGAGGCGUGAUGACGAGGCACUACGGUGCUGAAGCAACAAAUGCCCUGCUUCCAGGAAAAGCCUCUAAGCAUCAGGUAACAUCAAAUCGUACCCCAAACCGACACAGGUGGUCAGGUAGAGAAUACCAAGGCGCUUGAGAGAACUCGGGUGAAGGAACUAGGCAAAAUGGUGCCGUAACUUCGGGAGAAGGCACGCUGAUAUGUAGGUGAAGCGACUUGCUCGUGGAGCUGAAAUCAGUCGAAGAUACCAGCUGGCUGCAACUGUUUAUUAAAAACACAGCACUGUGCAAACACGAAAGUGGACGUAUACGGUGUGACGCCUGCCCGGUGCCGGAAGGUUAAUUGAUGGGGUCAGCGCAAGCGAAGCUCUUGAUCGAAGCCCCGGUAAACGGCGGCCGUAACUAUAACGGUCCUAAGGUAGCGAAAUUCCUUGUCGGGUAAGUUCCGACCUGCACGAAUGGCGUAAUGAUGGCCAGGCUGUCUCCACCCGAGACUCAGUGAAAUUGAACUCGCUGUGAAGAUGCAGUGUACCCGCGGCAAGACGGAAAGACCCCGUGAACCUUUACUAUAGCUUGACACUGAACACUGGUCCUUGAUGUGUAGGAUAGGUGGGAGGCUUUGAAGUGUGGACGCCAGUCUGCAUGGAGCCGUCCUUGAAAUACCACCCUUUAAUGGCUGGUGUUCUAACGUUGGCCCCUUACCGGGGUUGCGGACAGUGUCUGGUGGGUAGUUUGACUGGGGCGGUCUCCUCCUAAAGAGUAACGGAGGAGCACGAAGGUUGGCUAAUCCUGGUCGGACAUCAGGAGGUUAGUGCAAUGGCAUAAGCCAGCUUGACUGCGAGCGUGACGGCGCGAGCAGGUGCGAAAGCAGGUCAUAGUGAUCCGGUGGUUCUGAAUGGAAGGGCCAUCGCUCAACGGAUAAAAGGUACUCCGGGGAUAACAGGCUGAUACCGCCCAAGAGUUCAUAUCGACGGCGGUGUUUGGCACCUCGAUGUCGGCUCAUCACAUCCUGGGGCUGAAGUAGGUCCCAAGGGUAUGGCUGUUCGCCAUUUAAAGUGGUACGCGAGCUGGGUUUAGAACGUCGUGAGACAGUUCGGUCCCUAUCUGCCGUGGGCGCUGGAGAACUGAGGGGGGCUGCUCCUAGUACGAGAGGACCGGAGUGGACGCAUCACUGGUGUUCGGGUUGUCAUGCCAAUGGCACUGCCCGGUAGCUAAAUGCGGAAGAGAUAAGUGCUGAAAGCAUCUAAGCACGAAACUUGCCCCGAGAUGAGUUCUCCCUGAGACUUAGAGUCUCCUGAAGGAACGUUGAAGACGACGACGUUGAUAGGCCGGGUGUGUAAGCGCAGCGAUGCGUUGAGCUAACCGGUACUAAUGAACCGUGAGGCUUAACCUUACAACGCCGAAG